AACGAACGCUGGCGGCAGGCUUAACACAUGCAAGUCGAACGCCCCGCAAGGGGAGUGGCAGACGGGUGAGUAACGCGUGGGAAUCUACCGUACCCUACGGAAUAACGCAUGGAAACGUGUGCUAUACCGUAUACGCCCUACGGGGGAAAGAUUUAUCGGGGUAUGAUGAGCCCGCGUUGGAUUAGCUAGUUGGUGGGGUAAAGGCCUACCAAGGCGACGAUCCAUAGCUGGUCUGAGAGGAUGAUCAGCCACACUGGGACUGAGACACGGUACAAGCUCCUACGGGAGGGAGCAGUGGGGAAUAUUGGACAAUGGGCGCAAGCCUGAUCCAGCCAUGCCGCGUGAGUGAUGAAGGUCUUAGGAUCGUAAAGCUCUUUCACCGGAGAAGAUAAUGACGGUAUCCGGAGAAGAAGCCCCGGCUAACUUCGUGCCAGCCGCCGCCGUAAUAC
rnacentral:rRNA from 1 species